AUAUGGCCGACGUGGGUCAGAGUGUAGUAUCUGUUAUGAUCAGCUUAAUAUCUGAUACGGGUUGUAUUUGAACUCAAAAUAUUAAACCUAUUUUUGCAAAUUUGCGUAAUGCUUUAAGCCUGCUUCACCUCCGCCGGGGGUCAGCCCGGUAUUGCACUAUCGUCGGGAUCGCCCCAGGGUUU